AUUUGGUGGUGGGGGCAAUUGGAACAUAAAUUCUUGAACCUCUCCUAGUAUUCGUAGAGGCUCUCCCCAGAUUGUUGCUUGAUGCCAUAAAUCUCCUUUCUUAUGGU